rnacentral:rRNA from 1 species
GUGAGUAACACGUGGGCAACCUGCCUGUAAGACUGGGAUAACUCCGGGAAACCGGGGCUAAUACCGGAUAACUCUUUUCCUCACAUGAGGAAAAGCUGAAAGAUGGUUUCGGCUAUCACUUACAGAUGGGCCCGCGGCGCAUUAGCUAGUUGGUGAGGUAACGGCUCACCAAGCCACGAUGCGUAGCCGACCUGAGAGGGUGAUCGGCCACACUGGGACUGAGACACGGCCCAGACUCCUACGGGAGGCAGCAGUAGGGAAUCUUCCGCAAUGGACGAAAGUCUGACGGAGCAACGCCGCGUGAGUGAUGAAGGUUUUCGGAUCGUAAAACUCUGUUGUCAGGGAAGAACAAGUACCGGAGUAACUGCCGGUACCUUGACGGUACCUGACCAGAAAGCCACGGCUAACUACGUGCCAGCAGCCGCGGUAAUACGUAGGUGGCAAGCGUUGUCCGGAAUUAUUGGGCGUAAAGCGCGCGCAGGCGGUUCCUUAAGUCUGAUGUGAAAGCCCCCGGCUCAACCGGGGAGGGUCAUUGGAAACUGGGGAACUUGAGUGCAGAAGAGAAGAGUGGAAUUCCACGUGUAGCGGUGAAAUGCGUAGAGAUGUGGAGGAACACCAGUGGCGAAGGCGACUCUUUGGUCUGUAACUGACGCUGAGGCGCGAAAGCGUGGGGAGCAAACAGGAUUAGAUACCUGGUAGUCCACGCCGUAAACGAUGAGUGCUAA